AAACGUUUUAGACCACCGUGCUUUAGAUCGGUUUGUAGGGCCUGUUUUUGUUCAGAUCGUUGAGCAUUAUUGAUUAAAUUGGAGGAAAAAUAAUGUUUUCACAAGCAAACAACGUGCACGGGUGAUGUAUUGAAGUAAUAGAGCAUAUGAUAACAUUGAAGCUUACCGGAUGCGUUCCACAACAUUCGAGGUAAAGCAACGAAACUAAAGGAAAAGGAAAUAAGAUUGGAAGUUGAAGGCCUCCUGGAUGCAUUCCGAUGUCACGCAUUCCAAGGUAACACACAUACACGCCGACUCCGGUGUCGGUGUACGUUUGCCCGGCGGCGUGGGGUGGAGCGGGCGGGAUGCUGUUGUUGCGCAGAUUGAUGAGCGCGGUCACCGCGGUGUUGCUGGUUAGCUUGCGUUCAAAGCUGACCGAUUUUUUCUUUCGACCGUGCGUGAAUGUCAGACAGCUAUUUUUGAAUUGUGAUUAUGAUCCGGCCGGAUGUUGGGCUGGUAGAAGAUGGUACAAAAGGGAAGCUGUUUGAAGGCUCGUUGAUUUCUUGUAAAAUAAGCACUUUUGCUUGUCUAUUAAUUACGGGAACGGAUUUCAUCCGCACGAUUUGUCGCACCAUGCAUCAUCCAACUUCUCAAUCGUUCGCCGUUCGUUGAGCAAGCCGGUGCAGCUAUACUAAUGCGUUCGCAUUCGUCCACCGCAACGCGUCCACAUCAUCGAACCAAGACGAAACAUGACGAUAACAAACGGCGAUAUGAAUCGCGGCGAUAAACGUUAGCAAGCUGGCGUGACCAUCACUGGUCAGCCACACGCGCCACACGCGGAUGGCCUUCUGUUUUGGCCCCGCUCGUAUGCCCACACAGACACACACACACACAGGGCGUCUCUUUUUCCCCCGGGGGGCACAGGUUUGGGGUGGAAAAAUGCCAUCGCACCAGGCGACCGAUCGAUCGCGGUGUGCAUUUGCCGCUUUCCAUCCCUUACGCACGCACGCACACAUCAGCGUGUGCACAUGGGGAGGGCUGUGGCUGUGUAUGUUGCUUUGGGACAGGUUUGCUAAUCAACCCCUCUGCUCUCCUCUCUCCCCUCUGCACCGAGGGAUGGUGACUAGCGAUGCCUCAGAGCGUAAGGAGCAGUUUUUGGACGCAUUCGGUGAAGCUGCUCCCGGCGUUCAAUGGCAAACUGUUGGAAACUGGUCGUCAUCACACGCAGCCACACACAUAGCGUACACAAACAUCAAACGAAACGCAAGAUAUUUGUUUUCCUUGAACCAAAUCAACUCUCUUACCCAUCCAUCGAUGAGAUCCAGCGCUGGAUCGACCAGAUGCACUAUCAGCGGUUUCGGUUCGGGCAAACUGCCACGGCUCAAGUGAGUGAGUGAGAGCUACUUUGCUAUUUUGCACAAACCACUUACGUUGUUUGUUUCAGAUGGGGUUUGCUCAUUUCGGGUGGUUUGUUUGCCACAAAAGAUUGAUUCAAUAUUGAAGCCUUUGCAUGACGAGUUAGUUCGUCCUUGAGGAGCUUUCUUUCGGUGCAUUGCUGAUCGCCUGCUUGGAUACUUUGCUACAUGAUGAUCUUGCUCUAUCUUUGAUCGAUCCUUGACGCCGAAG